rnacentral:lncRNA from 1 species
UGACAUCAAAGGAAAGGGAGAGAGAGAAAAGAAAGCAAUUUCUUCAAGGCUGUUUCAAUAUGGUCUGUUUGAUGAAAUACACAUUGAGAUUCAUAAAGAGCAGCUAAGCCUAGAAAGAUAAUGGAGGCAUAACCACCCACAUAUUCAAAGGGAUUCAAAUUCACGCUACAAGUUCAUCAUGUGAAAAUCCUUAAAAAAAAGUCCUUCAGUUGUAGAUUCCAUGGUCUCCCAGUCAUGAAAACAUAAUUAAUUUGACAAUCAAAGUUAAUCCAGCAAAGACAGUGAGCAGGAUUGUACAAGGAAAGAGUGGAAUCACAGAACUCCCAUCAGGAAAAUAAACCCAGAACAUUUAGUGUACCGAUGUGGAAUCUGUGGCAUAGACAAGUGAAGAAUUUCUUCUAUAUUCAUUUGGAGAAAAGGCACCCUUUGAGAAGAGAAAACGAAC